GCUACUGUUCCCAGAAGAAAAACGCUUUUCAUAGUCUUUUGUGAAUCAAUGGGACUGUUACUUAGGCCUACCUUUCUGACCACUUUAAUUAGAUUUACAUUUUGUGAUUCAAACAACAGGCCCACCUCGUAAUAUGUAGCAUAAUGGAUAGCCUAGAGCAUGGUUUCAGACCUUCACAGAUUUAGUUGCAUGUUCAGUCUGUGUGUUUUUUAUUAUUAUGGUUUCUUGUUGCUGUUCCAAAAUGCUCUCUCUUUCUCCAGAUCUGCUGUUGCAGAUGAUAAUGUUUUGUUUCAUGUCUGCUGUUGCAGAUUGUCAUGUUUUGUUUUAUAUCUGCUCUUCCAGACACAUGACAACCACUUCACAGGGGAGAAAAGCGUGCCAACACCUCUGUCGUGCACCAGUGUUCUGCAGACGUGGACCAAGGACACAGGGGAUUCGCUCCAGGGGAUUCGCCCGGAACCCAUUGACCAACUUGUGGUCAGGAAACCCAAGGUUUGGGUUAGGUGUUUUAUUUGAGCACAUACAUGGACACAUACCUCCUGAAUGCCAAGUAAAUAUGGCCGAGGGAUACACACACCCCAUUCCAUUUAUUUAUUUCUGUUAAAUGUAUAUAUGUAAAUAUUUUAAUCAAAGAAUUGGAAACGAACAUUCCUGAACAUUUGUUUUAAGGUAACACACUCUGAGCACCUUUAAAACAAGCCUGAAGACUUUUAUGUUUGCAUUAGCUUUCUGCUACAUCUUAAAUACAUUGCACUUUCUAAAAAGCUUUUUUAACUUUGCCUUUAUUUUCUAUUUUAAUACUAAAUGCCUUUAACUUUCUAUUUUACUCAUUUCUCUGCAUAUGUUUUCUUUUACUUAUCUAUUUUAUUGUAUGACAAUGUUUAUAUGUGAAGCACUUUGAGUCUUCCCUUGUGUAUGAAAAGUGCUAAAUAAAGUUGCCUUGCCUAACACACAGAACAUUUCAUUUCUUUCUGUUAAAUGUAAAUAUGUAUAUAUGUAAAUUUAAAAAAAAGAACUGGAAACAAACAUUAAAUAAACAUUUGAAAAGGACGGACGGACACAAACACACACACCAUUUUAAUUUCUUUCUGCUAAAUGUAAACAAAGAACAUUAAUAAACGUUUGAAAAUAGUCAUGUGACGUCAUGUGUGUUUUAAUGUGUAACACUGGGACAUCACCCUUAACAUCUAAAGGACCUUGAUAGUUAGACAUCAAGCAAGAAUUUACCCACAGCUGAUUGACAGAGCCUGAAAGAGUCAGAGGAAUGGUUGUGUCCCAGAUAUGAUAUUCUUUGACCCUUCUGAUGGCCCUCUCCAAGAUUCUAAGUUGGGCGAUACUCACUGGUUAACCUGGCGCCUCUUUUAAAUGGCGGCAUUAUGAGGGUGGCCCCAACUUCAGAAAGCAUCUUGUCGAUAACAAAGCCUUUGUCAGCCAUGCAUGCAUCUCCUGGCUGAAGUAGACUAAGGAUUCCUGACUGCUGUGUGAUUUCUCUAUCUGAUAUGGAACCAGUGUACAGCUUAGAAAUUAGCUUAGAAAUUAAGGUGAUAACUCCACAUGAAGCAAUGCCAAUCAGACCUUUGAAGGUGUUGGUAUUCUUGUAGUGGGAGAAUGUUUCAGACUGGAGGGUGAGUGAUGAGGGUGCCUCACACCUGAUUUCUGUGCCGUCUAGAAUCACUCGCACGUUAGGACAGUACUGGGCAAAAAAAUAUCUCAACCAAGAUUUAUUUUGUCCUUCGGGAAAGCGUGGAAGCUGAGGUAUGGCUGUAUACGUCCUGAUGUAGAGCAACACGGUACAACAAGAACAACUGCGAAAGGGAGCUGCCAUUGUUGUUGCUGCUGGACGCGACCGGAAGUUGGAUUACCCUACUACGCGUUCCGGAAGCAGGAAGUGUGACAUAGGCCUAUUAUUGUAUGUAUUAUAUUAUAUUUAAGCAAUAAGCCCAGAGAGGCCGUGCUUUAUACUGUAGGCUAAUCGAACAGCUAAGGGGAUUUAUUAUGCAG
rnacentral:lncRNA from 1 species